rnacentral:rRNA from 1 species
GAUGAACGCUGGCGGCGUGCCUAAUACAUGCAAGUCGAGCGAACAGACGAGGAGCUUUCUCCUCUGACGUUAGCGGCUGACGGGUGAGUAACACGUGGAUAACCUACUUAUAAUACUUGGAUAACUUCGGGAAACCGGAGCUAAUACCGGAUAAUAUAUUGAACCGCAUGGUUCAAUAGUGAAUGACGGUUUUGCUGUCACUUUUAGAUGGAUCCGCGUCGGAUUAGCUAGUUGGUAAGGUAACGGCUUACCAAGGCAACGAUGCGUAGCCGAACUGAGAGGAUGAUCGGCCACACUGGAACUGAGACACGGUCCAGACUCCUACGGGAGGCAGCAGUAGGGAAUAUUGCGCAAUGGGCGAAAGCCUGACCGAGCCAUGCCGCGUGGGUGAAGAAGGUCUUCGGGUUGUAAAACCCUGUUGUUAGGAAAGAAAAAAAGUGGAAGAAAACAUCGCAGUUCUGACGGUACCCAAACAAAAAGCAACGGCUAACUACGUG